AACGAACGCUGGCGGCGUGGAUAAGACAUGCAAGUCGAGCGCUGAUUACAGGGUAGCAAUAUUCUGUGGUCGGAGCGGCGCAAGGGUGCGUAACACGUGGGUAAUCUGCCGUGAAGUUUGGGAUAACUUGCUGAAAGGCGAGCUAAUACCGGAUGUGACAAUUAGGAGGCAUCUUCCGAUUGUCAAAGUUGGGGACCGUAAGGCCUGACGCUUCAUGAUGAGCCCGCGGCCUAUCAGCUAGUUGGUGAGGUAAUGGCUCACCAAGGCUAAGACGGGUAGCUGGUCUGAGAGGACGACCAGCCACACUGGAACUGAGACACGGUCCAGACACCUACGGGUGGCAGCAGUCGAGAAUUUUCACAAUGGGCGCAAGCCUGAUGGAGCGACGCCGCGUGGGG
rnacentral:rRNA from 1 species